UUUGCUUCCCGCGCCAUAGAGCAUAGAAAGCUGGGUUCCAGGCGAGAAGGGAGCGUUGUUUCCCGCCACAACCACACCCUUUAAAAACCCCUCAUCUCUUACUCCCAUUCAUUCAUUCACUCUUUCUCUUGUCUUUAUUGUGAACAACCAACCACUCACCCAUGACCAUGGCACGCACAUCCUCUCCCCACAGAAGAACCCCCAAAUGCCACCACAAGUACCUCAAACCAGGAGCACUCGCCAAACUCAGAGACUCCAAGAUCGCAAUCAAUCGCACAACCAACUACCUCUUUCUCUCUCAACUCUCAUCACCCCCCGCACAACACCACCACACUCUCCACCACCAAAACGACGCCGUUCCUUCCUUCCAUCCUCCCAUCUACCUCCGCCGUCCCCGCUGUCUCCUCCGCAAGAAACUCUUCGCCGUCGCUCCCUCUUUCACCCACGCCGACCACACCUACCGCUUCUAGGUCUAAUCGAUUGCGCCAUUUAAUGCAACUUGCCUUCUGGCGAUAUAUGGCAACAGAUGCAAAUUCAUUUAGCAAAAGUAGGAAACAGUACUCAGACAGCCCCCGUCAGACUAAACUGUAGCAAUCUCUGGUGUUGAGUGUUGACCUGCAUCAUACAGGAAAUUCAGGUCAUGACAUCCAAACUGUGAUGUAUAUCCUCUUUAAUAAGAAUAAACAAAGCACGGUGCAAGCAUCAAGAUAUGUCAUUCAAUAUCAGCAGAUAGAAGUUCAAAGAGAAAUAGUAUUACCCGAUGUAAGUAAAUCUCAUUCUCAAAUAUAAUUCUGUUUGUAUAAUUACUGGCUUAGAGAUUGCAUAAGGCAGAGCCAAGACGCGAGGGGAGUGAAAUGUUAGAAACUUACUUCUUUAUUUACACUAGCAAAGUGCAUCCAUAACACUAGAAGCAGAUAUGGCUACAACAGGGAGGCUACACCCAAAGGCAUGCCCAAAGAGAAAUACGGGAUGCUUCAAGUACGUGGUGCUCAGGAACCCUUGCCAAAUUGAGGGAUUCGAAAAUCAACUCCAGACGCAACCAAAGUAUUUCUGCUUCUGAACCUCUUUCCCCGGUUCCCCCCACCCAACAGGAUGAUCAGCCAUUCAACAAGGAUAAUGGGAUUCCUUGCUUCGAUCCCCUCAUCUAUCACAAAUACAAUUGCAUUAAUUGCCUCACCCCAAAAAAAAUUUAUCACGGUUACUCUCCCUUUAUCCCCGACGACACAUUCUAUUCCUAGGUUUAAACAAAUGUGAUCACAACCAAUGAUUAGAUGUUUCCUUUGUUACUGUACCGGGAGGACCCUGUCGGUCACGUUGACCAACACGUGUUGUUCUGUCAGACACCCAUGCGAACUGGACAAUACUCAAGGUUGACGUUAGCAUCGGCUCGGUUUAUAGCUAAAGGCCGAGAUUAGUCAACUGGCACAUGUCGGCUCGGCUGAAGGCCGAUGCAAACAGCAUGAUGCAUUCCCACAUACUACGAAUCGGCUCGGUCAACAGCCAAAGACAUGCAACCUCCCAAACAUUAGCCUGUCGGCUCGGCAAUGUGCCGAUAGGUUAACGGGUUAUAGUACAAAUCACAGUUAACAAUGACAAGUGCAUAAUUAAGACAUGAUUAGCUGAUUAACAUCGUAUUACCUAAUUUGGUAAAGAUUAGAAUAGGCCCACCACGUUCAGGCGCAUGUCAAGUAUUAUAAAUAGGUCACACGUAACGAGGUACGUCACUGUUCAUUAAUUAUCCUAGAAUAUCGUGCUUGUCCUAAUUUGAGCGUCGGAGUGCCUUUGGCAGGUACCUCCCCCCUCUGAAGAGUCCGUUUGAAGCAUCCGUUCGGUCCUUCUCACUAAGAAGAAUACGAGUGUACCCUCAGGCAGAAGCUCAGACCAGAAGAGAUGGUUAAAGUUUGUAGCCCCAGGAACUCUUGCGAAGUUGAGGGACUCCAAAAUCAGCAAGAGACGCAAGCAAAGGAUCUCUGCUUCUGAAGACAUAGUAUUCACAUCUACCUAUUCUCCCCCCGAACCCCAAUUCAACAUGUAUACUGGGAUUCCUUGCUUCGAAUACAAUCUCCCCAUUUGCAUCAACAAAAAAAGAAUAUGCAUAUAUAGGACUCCCUACUAUGUCACCAACGACACAUACUACUCCUAGGCUUACACAUAUGUCAUCACAAUCAAAGAUUACAUCUUUCUAUUCUUUGACUUUGUUUUAAAUCAGGGAUCACUCUGCCUGUUUGUAUUUUAUUUUAUUUUAUUUUUAUUUUUCUGCAUUAUAUUUG